GGUAGUGAGUUACCUCAAUUGAUUGUUAGUCAGUUACAGAUCAAACCCCUUGUUCUACUCUUUCCACCCUUCUCACUCCUGCAC
rnacentral:sRNA from 1 species